AUACCCCGGUAGUCCACGCUGUAAACGAUGGAUGCUAGCAGUGUGCCGUAUCGACCCGGUGCGUUGCGAAGCUAACGCAUUAAGCAUCCCGCCUGAGUAGUACGAUCGCAAGAUUAAAACUCAAAGGAAUUGACGGGGACCCGCACAAGCGGUGGAGCGUGUUGUUUAAUCGGAUGGUAAGCCUAGAACCUUACCAGGGUUUGACAUCCUUGGAAUUUCGCCGAAAGGUGAGAGUGCUUUAUUGAGCCAAGUGACAGGUGAUGCAUGGCCGUCGUCAGCUCGUGUCGUGAGAUGUUUGGUUAAGUCCAUCAACGAGCGCAACCCUUAUGGUUAGUUGGAUUUUUCUAGCCAGACUGCCUCGGUAACGGGGAGGAAGGAGGGGAUGAUGUCAGGUCGUUAUUUCCCUUACACCCUGGGCUACAAACGCGNUNCAAUGGNCGGUACAAUGGGCAGCCAAGCUGUGAAGCGGAGCAAAUCCCAUCAAAGCCGGUCCCAGUUCGGAUAAGAGGCUGAAACUCGCCUCUUUGAAGUCGGAAUCGCUAGUAAUCUGCAGGUCAGCACANUGCGGUGAAUACGUUGCCCGGGUCUUGUACACACCGCCCGUCAAGCCAUGAAAGGUCACCAACACCCGAAGUCGUGAAUUGUACUUCAGGCCUAAGGUGGUGCGGGGAUAUAUUGGGGUU
rnacentral:rRNA from 1 species